AUUUAUGGUUCUGAAAAAGAAAGAUUAUUUUUUCUGAGAAUCACUGCUAGAAGCUGGUGGAAGCAAACAAAAUCAAACGCACAACUUGGAAAUCAAAGCAUAUUUUAAAAUGAAGGAUUUGUUUUUAUCCUUACCAGGAGUUAAAAACUGGAAUGAACCUGAGUCUACUGUUACCAUGUAAGUGCCUGAAAUGGAAUAAACAGUUUUCUGACUUAAUGGCUAUCCCCAUGGCAAUAGGAGAGGAUCUUGCGCACUAAAGACUGAAAGGAAUGAAUAGAUCAGAAAGACUCCUGACACAGCCUAAGGUAUACAAAGUUGACACCAGAGGAGCAAAUAAAAAGUAUGCUGCAAAGACAUGGUAAAGUGAGCUGCAGACUUGCAGAAGGAGCAAGCCCAUGGCAAGAGGAGAUGGGCAGCAAAGCAAAAAAGCUUCACUCACCUGGCUGUUGGCUGUCUCUGUAUCCUGAUUUGGAGCUAGCCUGGCAUAUGGAACCAAAUCAAGAGAAGCAUGAAAAGCUUUGAGGAAAAGUCAGCUCUAACUUGGCUGCUAUUUCUGGAGAAGACAAUGCCUUUGUCUGCUACCAGCUCACCAGCUUGACGUCCACAGGGGCUGUCUGUAGCCCUCACUACCUGUACUAAACAAAAGAUUUGCAAUGCAGAAUAGGGAGCAAAAGAAAUUGGAACAACAAACCCAGAAAUAUGGUGUGUUGAAGACCUUCUGCUUCCAGUAAGCAAUUAAAAAUCCAAAUUGAACUCCCUGUAGGAAGAAAACUCACAAUUUGUACAGUCAGCUUUAUUCACUGUCAUGAGGUUCUUCUGAUAGUCCCUCAAAGCCACCUGCCAUAAAACAGGGAUGGCAGACUACGUGGCAUUCCCUUGGCAUGUGGUUUUUCAGGGUCUGACAUUUGAUUAUACUCUCCAUUCUUUACAAAUAAAAAGGCUGUACGUAUUUUUAACA
rnacentral:lncRNA from 1 species